GUGUACCCGAAAUGCCAAGCAAAGUUACAAUAGUCAAAAUCUGUGGUUUCAACAAAGCAAUUCUGAUGCCUUAAUGUUAACUUCUAGGAGGGCAUACCGAUUCCAGUUUCAGCAAUUUUGUAUUCAUUUCUGGUUUCUGAUUCAACAAACCCGUCCCUCUUCUCAACCCAACUAAAACCAGGCUUCUUAUGGACCCCUUACUCCGUCAUCACCUUCCUAAUAUUCUC
rnacentral:lncRNA from 1 species